rnacentral:rRNA from 1 species
GACUCGUCACACUAUCAUUAACUGAAUCCAUAGGUUAAUGAGGCGAACCGGGGGAACUGAAACAUCUAAGUACCCCGAGGAAAAGAAAUCAACCGAGAUUCCCCCAGUAGCGGCGAGCGAACGGGGAGGAGCCCAGAGCCUGAAUCAGCAUGUGUGUUAGUGGAAGCGUCUGGAAAGGCGCGCGAUACAGGGUGACAGCCCCGUACACAAAAGCGCAUGUGCUGUGAGCUCGAUGAGUAGGGCGGGACACGUGGUAUCCUGUCUGAAUAUGGGGGGACCAUCCUCCAAGGCUAAAUACUCCUGACUGACCGAUAGUGAACCAGUACCGUGAGGGAAAGGCGAAAAGAACCCCGGCGAGGGGAGUGAAAAAGAACCUGAAACCGUGUACGUACAAGCAGUGGGAGCACAGGUUUACCUGUGUGACUGCGUACCUUUUGUAUAAUGGGUCAGCGACUUAUAUUCUGUAGCAAGGUUAACCGAAUAGGGGAGCCGGAGGGAAACCGAGUCUUAAUUGGGCGUUAAGUUGCAGGGUAUAGACCCGAAACCCGGUGAUCUAGCCAUGGGCAGGUUGAAGGUUGGGUAACACUAACUGGAGGACCGAACCGACUAAUGUUGAAAAAUUAGCGGAUGACCUGUGGCUGGGGGUGAAAGGCCAAUCAAACCGGGAGAUAGCUGGUUCUCCCCGAAAGCUAUUUAGGUAGCGCCUCGUGAAUUCAUCUCCGGGGGUAGAGCACUGUUUCGGCUAGGGGGCCAUCCCGGCUUACCAACCCGAUGCAAACUGCGAAUACCGGAGAAUGUUAUCACGGGAGACACACGGCGGGUGCUAACGUCCGUCGUGAAGAGGGAAACAACCCAGACCGCCAGCUAAGGUCCCAAAGUCAUGGUUAAGUGGGAAACGAUGUGGGAAGGCCCAGACAGCCAGGAUGUUGGCUUAGAAGCAGCCAUCAUUUAAAGAAAGCGUAAUAGCUCACUGGUCGAGUCGGCCUGCGCGGAAGAUGUAACGGGGCUAAACCAUGCACCGAAGCUGCGGCAGCGACACUGUGUGUUGUUGGGUAGGGGAGCGUUCUGUAAGCCUGUGAAGGUGUGUCGUGAGGCAUGCUGGAGGUAUCAGAAGUGCGAAUGCUGACAUAAGUAACGAUAAAGCGGGUGAAAAGCCCGCUCGCCGGAAGACCAAGGGUUCCUGUCCAACGUUAAUCGGGGCAGGGUGAGUCGACCCCUAAGGCGAGGCCGAAAGGCGUAGUCGAUGGGAAACGGGUUAAUAUUCCCGUACUUGGUGUUACUGCGAAGGGGGGACGGAGAAGGCUAUGUUGGCCGGGCGACGGUUGUCCCGGUUUAAGCGUGUAGGUGUGUGUUCCAGGUAAAUCCGGUUCACUUUAACACUGAGGCGUGACGACGAGGCACUACGGUGCUGAAGCAACAAAUGCCCUGCUUCCAGGAAAAGCCUCUAAGCAUCAGGUAACAUCAAAUCGUACCCCAAACCGACACAGGUGGUCAGGUAGAGAAUACCAAGGCGCUUGAGAGAACUCGGGUGAAGGAACUAGGCAAAAUGGUGCCGUAACUUCGGGAGAAGGCACGCUGACACGUAGGUGAAGUGAUUUACUCAUGGAGCUGAAGUCAGUCGAAGAUACCAGCUGGCUGCAACUGUUUAUUAAAAACACAGCACUGUGCAAACACGAAAGUGGACGUAUACGGUGUGACGCCUGCCCGGUGCCGGAAGGUUAAUUGAUGGGGUCAGCGCAAGCGAAGCUCCUGAUCGAAGCCCCGGUAAACGGCGGCCGUAACUAUAACGGUCCUAAGGUAGCGAAAUUCCUUGUCGGGUAAGUUCCGACCUGCACGAAUGGCGUAAUGAUGGCCAGGCUGUCUCCACCCGAGACUCAGUGAAAUUGAACUCGCUGUGAAGAUGCAGUGUACCCGCGGCAAGACGGAAAGACCCCGUGAACCUUUACUAUAGCUUGACACUGAACAUUGAGCCUUGAUGUGUAGGAUAGGUGGGAGGCUUUGAAGUGUGGACGCCAGUCUGCAUGGAGCCGACCUUGAAAUACCACCCUUUAAUGUUUGAUGUUCUAACGUGGACCCGUUACCCGGGUUGCGGACAGUGUCUGGUGGGUAGUUUGACUGGGGCGGUCUCCUCCUAAAGAGUAACGGAGGAGCACGAAGGUUGGCUAAUCCUGGUCGGACAUCAGGAGGUUAGUGCAAUGGCAUAAGCCAGCUUGACUGCGAGCGUGACGGCGCGAGCAGGUGCGAAAGCAGGUCAUAGUGAUCCGGUGGUUCUGAAUGGAAGGGCCAUCGCUCAACGGAUAAAAGGUACUCCGGGGAUAACAGGCUGAUACCGCCCAAGAGUUCAUAUCGACGGCGGUGUUUGGCACCUCGAUGUCGGCUCAUCACAUCCUGGGGCUGAAGUAGGUCCCAAGGGUAUGGCUGUUCGCCAUUUAAAGUGGUACGCGAGCUGGGUUUAGAACGUCGUGAGACAGUUCGGUCCCUAUCUGCCGUGGGCGCUGGAGAACUGAGGGGGGCUGCUCCUAGUACGAGAGGACCGGAGUGGACGCAUCACUGGUGUUCGGGUUGUCAUGCCAAUGGCACUGCCCGGUAGCUAAAUGCGGAAGAGAUAAGUGCUGAAAGCAUCUAAGCACGAAACUUGCCCCGAG